GCCCAGGUAGCUCAGUCGGUAGAGCAGGGGACUGAAAAUCCCCGUGUCGGCAGUUCGAUUCUGUCCCUGGGCACCA
rnacentral:tRNA from 15 species